AACUAGGAUUCCCUUAGUAACGGCGAGUGAACCGGGAUGAGCUCAAAUUUAAAAUCUGGCGUCUUUCAGGCGUCCGAGUUGUAAUCUAUAGAGGCGUUUUCCGCGCCGGACCGCGUCCAAGUCCCUUGGAAUAGGGUAUCAAAGAGGGUGACAAUCCCGUACUUGACGCGACAACCGGUGCUCUGUGAUACGUUCUCAACGAGUCGAGUUGUUUGGGAAUGCAGCUCUAAACGGGUGGUAAAUUCCAUCUAAGGCUAAAUAUUGGCGAGAGACCGAUAGCGAACAAGUACCGUGAGGGAAAGAUGAAAAGCACUUUGGAAAGAGAGUUAAACAGCACGUGAAAUUGUUAAAAGGGAAACGAUUGAAGUCAGUCGUGUGGGAGGUAUUCAGCCGUCUCUGGCGGUGUAUUUGCCUCUCACGGGUCAACAUCAGUUUGAUCCGGUAGAAAAAGGCGGGAGGAAGGUGGCACCCUCGGGUGUGUUAUAGCCUCCUGUCACAUGUGCCGGACCAGACUGAGGAACGCAGCUUGCAGCAAUGCCGGGGUUCGCCCACGUACAAGCUAGGA
rnacentral:rRNA from 1 species